GACGUAGGGCGCGAGCGUUGUCCGGAUUUAUUGGGCGUAAAGAGCUCGUAGGCGGCUUGUCGCGUCGACUGUGAAAACUCGGGGCUCAACUCCGAGCUUGCAGUCGAUACGGGCAGGCUAGAGUUCGGUAGGGGGAGACUGGAAUUCCUGGUGUAGCGGUGAAAUGCGCAGAUAUCAGGAGGAACACCGAUGGCGAAGGCGGUUCUCUGGGCCUGUACUGACGCUGAGGAGCGAAAGCGUGGGGAGCGAACAGG
rnacentral:rRNA from 1 species